GUUCUGUGUUGGGCUUGUAGAAACUAGACAAGCAGGAACUGAUUACCCUUUUGGAGCACCAGAGUUAAUCCUGGAUUUCUUUAGGACUGAUAAUGCUUAACCUACAUUUUUUGUCCAUUUUUUUUUUGUUAUUUUUGUUGGUCAUUUCAUCAUUAUUCUUUUUUGCGUAAUAUUGUCUUAUUCUUAACUUAUAAAUUUUGGCGUCACCUUUGGUC
rnacentral:lncRNA from 1 species